rnacentral:rRNA from 1 species
GAUGAACGCUGGCGGCGUGCCUAAUACAUGCAAGUCGAGCGAACAGACGAGGAGCUUGCUCCUCUGACGUUAGCGGCGGACGGGUGAGUAACACGUGGAUAACCUACCUAUAAGACUGGGAUAACUUCGGGAAACCGGAUCUAAUACCGGAUAAUAUAUUGAACCGCAUGGUUCAAUAGUGAAAGACGGUUUUGCUGUCACUUAUAGAUGGAUCCGCGCGGCAUUGGCUAGUUGGUAAGGUAACGGCUUACCAAGGCGACGAUGCGUAGCCGACCUGGCAGGGGGUUCGGCAACACUGAACCUGAGCACCGGCCAAGACUCCAAGGGAAGGCAGAGUGAGGAAUUCUGGAGAAAUGGGCGAAAGCUUGACGGAGCAACGCGGGGGUGGUGAUGAAGGUCUCCGGAUGGUAAGACCCUGUUAUUGGGGAAGAACAAAUGUGUAAGUAACUAUGCACGUCUGACGUGUACCUAAGAAGAAGGCCACGGUUAACUACGU